GCGGGUGUGGCGGAAUUGGCAGACGCGCUAGACUUAGGAUCUAGUGUCUUCGACGUGGGAGUUC
rnacentral:tRNA from 1 species